UGUUGGAGGAACCCAAGAAGAUUAAAGC
rnacentral:piRNA from 1 species